CUCCCCGGACGGGCCGGGGAGGAACCCCUGGGCUGGAGACUCAGUGGAUCUGGGGCCGGGCUCAGGAUUCGGGGCUUUAGCAAGCCUCCCAGGUCACUGUGGGUGUCCACAGCUUCAGGUGUCGUGGAGGCUCUUCCAGAAUCUUCUCCCCAGAGAACAUUCUGGAAUCUGAUGCUCCAGAGAGUGGAACCAUGGAUGUUGCCACUGUGGCUAGCAGGGAAUGGCCUCUUGGGGGGCUGGUCUCCCCACUGGACGGGAGUUCUUGAGGGGCUGGGGCUGAGCCCCUUGUCCUGGGCUGCCCCAAAUAAACCUCAGCAAGGCUGAGUGAGGGCAUGAAGGAGAGCAGAACCCCUAAAGGAAGAGAAAGUGGGGGAGUGCAAGGGUCCUAGAAAGGAACUUAAAUGACCCCAGGACGGACUGGGACGUCCAGAGGGGGGACUUGCCGCCAGGAGGGUGAAGGGAGCCACUUCAAGUGUACAAUUCAACAGCAUUAAGGACAUCCACAGUGCCAUGCAACCAUCACCACCACCUAGUGCGAGAGAUUUUCGUCACCACAAAGGGAAAGCCCGUCUCCAUCAGGAGUGUGUGAGUGGAAAUUUCAAGUAUUCCACAUUCUUCAUUUAGCUGGGUAACGUCCUGAGCUACUCCAGAAGAAAGAAAGCUUAAACAGCACAGGAGGAGCCCCAGCGGGAGGAGCGGAGGCAGCUGGUUCCCUAGGCUGUCACCACCUGCAGACGGAGGUGAAGGCAGCUGUGUCACCUGAGCCCCGUGGCGGGAAAUAACGACAUCUUCGGGGAAGGGGGCCAUCCAGUCAAGGAUGUGGGAGGUGUCACAGGACCCAGGGGCAGGAGGACCAAGGAAUGGGAACACCAGCAGGCCUCGGGGAGCCGUGGGGUCUCUCCACUCUGCUUCUCUGCGCUCGCCAGCCACUCUGGCUCUCUCCACGGAUGGCCUCCUCUGCUUUCCUACCUCUCAAGUCCACGCGUCCUCAGUUUGACAUGGACCAGAGGGGCCGUGUCUCAAUUCCAAAUGCCCCUUCAGGUUGAGCGUCCACCCCCAGUCCAAUCAACCAUGGGCAGAGGGUGGCACUGCAUGGUACAGCUGCAGCUCUGCUGGGCCCUCUCCCGUGGAUGGAGACGGAGUGGUUCUCAGAGGCUGGAGGACUGAGCCAGGCCAGCACCCCAAAGAUGGGUCUACUCCAGGCCUAGACGUUAGGUCUUCUGGCACCUUCUCCCCUGCCCGGUCUACCACAUACACCCACGUUGGCUCUACAAGAUGCUUGCAGAUCUCUGCCCAAACCAGGACGUUCUUUUUGUUUUGAAUAAGAAGUUAGCAAACUGUAGCUCACUGGCCAAAUCUGGCC
rnacentral:lncRNA from 1 species